rnacentral:tmRNA from 1 species
GGGGGCGAUCUGGUUUCGACAAGGAUUAUAAUAUAGAAAAAAGCAUAUCGAGAUCUGGUUAACUCGCAAAUAUAUUCCAGAAAACUUUUAAAUGCAAAUGAUUCAAAAUACGCUCCAGUACGUUUGGCAGCAUAAUAAAUUAUAGUCAUAUAGACUAAACUCCAAUUCUCUUUUUUCAUGAAGUUAAUAAAUGGAGUUAAAUAAAUCAUGAAAUCGCAAUAGUUUAAGUUACAUAAACUAUUGUUAAAAAAAGUAACUCGUCUUUUUGAAGUUUGUGCAUUCGCUUCAUUUAAAAGAUUAAAAAAUUAAAAAAUAGCACUAAAUAUGUAGAAAUGUCUAUAAAGUAUUCUUGGACGCGGGUUCGAUUCCCGCCGCCUCCA